UACGGGGGGGGCAAGCGUUGUUCGGAAUUAUUGGGCGUAAAGAGCUCGUAGGCGGUGUGUCGCGUCGGCCGUGAAAACCUGCAGCUUAACUGUGGGCUUGCGGUCGAUACGGGCAUCACUGGAGUUCGGCAGGGGAGACUGGAAUUCCUGGUGUAGCGGUGAAAUGCGCAGAUAUCAGGAGGAACACCGGUGGCGAAGGCGGGUCUCUGGAACGCAACUGACGCUGAGACGCGAAAGCGUGGGGAGCAAACAGG
rnacentral:rRNA from 1 species